rnacentral:lncRNA from 1 species
UUGUAUCUUCUUCUUCUUGUUGCUGCUUCUGCUUGUAGUAGUACUACUCAAAUCGAUCCAGUCCAAGCUGCUGGUAGUGGUGGUGGAUGUCCUCCGGGUGGUCAUCAAUCUUUUGCCUCUCGGGCUGCGCCCAUCGCCCUUCCUGAGACCUCAUCAUGCCCUUGUUCUCGUCCUGCCUCCAGUUGGGCGGCACCAUGAGAUGCUCGUGUAGGAAGUCGCAGGACUUGUUCACCAGCGCCGGGUCUCGCCCGGUGGUCGGUGCAAACUUCCGACCCUUCCCCUGGAAUCUGCGAGCCCAAACCAGCAGGUGUUAGACCAAGACACGACUCUUGCAUUCAGGAGAAUAGCAGGGCGGGGGACCUCUAGCGAUGAGGGAUCGUACCCGUCCAAGAGAUGGAGAUGGGCUUCCAAAUUAUGGUAGUUGGAGGGGUCGAGGGAGUCCUUGAGGAAGGGCGAGUGCUUGUGGUCCAGAAGCAGCUCCACCCCGACGUGAACGUACCCGUCCAUCGCCCUCAGCAUGAACUCCGGCAUGUGCUCGUUGAUCAGCACGCCCGGCACCGUGGGCACCUUGUCGUGGACGUUCACCACCCGCAGCACCUUCAGCCCCAGCUUGUCGCACCGCUCCUUGAAGUGCUCGUUGCCCACCCUCGGCCCCCCGUAUGAGAACACCGCCAUCGGCACCUGCUUCCCGUCGGCCCCCUUGAUGAGCUCCAUCUCCGCGAUGUCGUACGCGUUCAGCGUCGCCAGCGCGCUGCCGAGGCUGUGCCCCGCCACCGUUAUGCUCACCUCCUCCCCGGCCUCGGUGUACUGGGCCACCAGCUUCCUCACCUCGGUCAGCACUUGCUCCCUAGCGGAGUACUUGCAGAACCGGCACGUCGAGUCCUUCUCGAUGUACAAGUCAACGAAGCCGGUCUCCACCUUGACCCGGGUGUCCGGGCAGGGGAUCCCCGCAGAUCUCACCGGCUGCAUCUUGGC